CAUAAGCCUGCAUGUCUAAGUAUAAAUGGUAUACAGUGAAACUGCGAAUGGCUCAUUAAAACAGUUAUAGUUUAUUUGGUAAUCGAAUUUACAUGGAUAACGCGUGGUAAUUCUAGAGCUAAUACAUGCUGUAAGCCCGACUUUUCGGAAGGGCCGUAUUUAUUAGAUAACAGACCAAUAUUCUUCGUGUCUAUUGUGGUGAAUCAUAGUAACUAAUCGGAUCGCAUGGGCCUGUCCCGCGACAAACCAUUCAAGUUUCUGCCCCAUCAGCUUUCGAUGGUAGUGUAUUGGACUACCAUGGCUUUUACGGGUAACGGAGGAUUAGGGUUCGAUUCCGGAGAGGGAGCCUGAGAAACGGCUACCACAUCUAAGGAAGGCAGCAGGCGCGUAAAUUACCCAAUCCUAACUCAGGAGGUAGUGACAAGAAAUAAUGGGUCGGAGCUACGCUCCGGGACCGCAAUGAGAUGAAUUUACACCCCUUUUCGAGGAUCAAUUGGAGGGCAAGUCUGGUGCCAGCAGCCGCGGUAAUUCCAGCUCCAAUAGCGUAUAUUAAAGUUGUUGCAGUUAAAAAGCUCGUAGUUGGACUUCUGGCAGGGAGCCAAUGCCCGUUUGAUACGUGCGCAGAGGCCCCCUACCAUCCUUCUGUUAACCCUUCUAGGUCUUCACUGAUCUGCUGGGAGCCCAGAUAUUUUACCUUGAGAAAAUUAGAGUGUUUCAGCAGGCUAGCGCCGGAAUACAUUAGCAUGGAAUAAUAGAAUAGGACUUUAUACCUCUUCUGUUGGUCUGAGGGGAUAGAGUAAUGAUUAAUAGGGAUAGUUGGGGGCAUUAGUUACUUUUACUGUCAGAAGUGAAAUUCUCGGAUUUUGUAAAAGACUAACUUAUGCGAAAGCAUUUGCCAAG
rnacentral:rRNA from 1 species